GGCGGGUCCUUGGGGCCUCCUGGGUGCCCGCCGCUCGCCAACCUGAAACAGUAGGAGACCGUGAUUGGGCGGGAGCGUGCGGGAUCCGAGGGCGGGGCCUGCGGGGGCGGGGCCUGCAACAGACGGCUGAGGUCGGACCGGACCGGACUGGACCGGACCGCCGCGGGGACCCGGCCCGGGUCGGAGACAGCGCGGCAGGACCUCUGGGGUGGAAGAUAGGAAGUGCUGCUCCUCAGGCAGCCCAGGGAGCUGCUAACCGGAAGUCCCGCCUGGGAGGAAGCCCUGGUGGCCACAGGUGCAGAUGCAGCAGGACUGAGUGUGGCAGCACAGGGGAUGCCUGCCUCCGCCAUCUCUGCAGCCCCUGAGCUGCAUGGCUUCCCUGGGCCCCGGCACUCUGGCCCCCAGCAGGCUCUCGAGCCGGAGAACCAUGUGCUGGGUCAGCACCAUCAGGGCUCAGAGCCAGGCUGUGGAGAGCACCAGGGUGCCGGGUCCUGAUCCUGCCCGCCCACCCGGGG
rnacentral:lncRNA from 1 species